rnacentral:ncRNA from 1 species
AUAAUAUUAGGGAGCUUUGAAGCUAGGUCAUUAUAUGGGCACUUUGACCUAGUGGAGCUAAUAGUGCAACCGACCUUCUUUCAU